rnacentral:rRNA from 1 species
UGGGGAAUAUUGGGCAAUGGGCGCAAGCCUGACCCAGCAACGCCGCGUGAAGGAAGAAGGCUUUCGGGUUGUAAACUUCUUUUCUGAGGGACGAAGAAAGUGACGGUACCUCAGGAAUAAGCCACGGCUAACUACGUGCCAGCAGCCGCGGUAAUACGUAGGUGGCAAGCGUUAUCCGGAUUUAUUGGGUGUAAAGGGCGUGUAGGCGGGAAUGCAAGUCAGAUGUGAAACUAUGGGCUCAACCCAUAGCCUGCAUUUGAAACUGUAUUUCUUGAGUGCUGGAGAGGCAAUCGGAAUUCCGUGUGUAGCGGUGAAAUGCGUAGAUAUACGGAGGAACACCAGUGGCGAAGGCGGAUUGCUGGACAGUAACUGACGCUGAGGCGCGAAAGCGUGGGGAGCAAACAGGAUUAGAUACCC